AACGAACGCUGGCGGCAGGCUUAACACAUGCAAGUCGAACGCCCCGCAAGGGGAGUGGCAGACGGGUGAGUAACGCGUGGGAAUCUACCGUGCCCUACGGAACAACAGUUGGAAACGACUGCUAAUACCGUAUACGCCCUACGGGGGAAAGAUUUAUCGGGGUAUGAUGAGCCCGCGUUGGAUUAGCUAGUUGGUGGGGUAAAGGCCUACCAAGGCGACGAUCCAUAGCUGGUCUGAGAGGAUGAUCAGCCACAUUGGGACUGAGACACGGCCCGAACUCCUACGGGAGGCAGCAGUGGGGAAUAUUGGACAAUGGGCGCAAGCCUGAUCCAGCCAUGCCGCGUGAGUGAUGAAGGUCUUAGGAUUGUAAAGCUCUUUCACCGACGAAGAUAAUGACGGUAGUCGGAGAAGAAGCCCCGGCUAACUUCGUGCCAGCCGCCGCCGUAAUAC
rnacentral:rRNA from 1 species